GCGUGUGUUGAAUAGGCUAGUUUGCAUACUGUUUCUAGUGGUUUUGCGGGCUGUACAGCCGUUCCCUUUGGAUUUCGUUUCACUUUUCAGAGUUCGUGGCAGAGUAGUCGGAGGACCUUUUCACGGUGAGCAAAGGAACCGAUGAGAUCCAAGAACUUCUCUUCCAUCUUGCAGACGUGACUAAAACACUCUUCAGAGGGAACAGUCACGUUGCCAAACAGUUCAUUUGGCACAUCGUGGGACCUGAGCAGGGACAUGAACUGGUCCUCAAUGACUGCCUCCAAGAGCCUCUUCAUCCUGUGAGCAGGCGUGGCAUUUUGGGACACGACAUAUGCUACGGGUUGAACCCAUGCCUUUGAUAUGCCAGAGAGCAGAAGCUGGCUCAAGGACAUCUCGUCAAACAUUAGGCAGCAUGCCCGAUCCCGUCUGCUCCAACUUUCUGUGUAAUUUUUUAUGGACUGCAUCACCCCGGGAAUGAUACCAGGCUUCAUGUUGAUAUCAGAAAUCCAUCGCCUGAUAGACCUGGGAGCUGGCAAUCUCAGGAUGCGAGCAAGAAAUCUGUAUGCCCUGGGGCCAUGAAAAUAAAGCUGGACAGCAAACUUUUUCAUUU